GAGCGGAAUGAAAACCAGAGCGAGCGCCAACCCAGCCCUCUGCGUUUGGGCCGCCUUUGCUGCACUCGGACUGCCUCAGCCGUGCGAGGGAUUUACAAAAUAAACUGCAAAGGAAACAAAUCCAUGCUUGGCCUAAAGUCAUCUAGCUGAUGAAAAGCAGAGAAGGCACCACAUAUUUGGAUUUAGCUGCUUUUGGAUGUAAUUGCAUGAAAUUCACAUUGACUCUGGGAUCUUUGCCAGGGUACAUGCUGACAGAAGACAGCAUAGACCUUGGUUUGAUAAUGAACCGCCUUCAGUCAUCAAUAUUUUACAUUACAUCAAGAGCUGCAGAGAUGCAAGCUUGGCCUUUGCUUAGUGUAAAAAGAUCAGAAAAUGCUUGUGACACUACAUGACUAGGAUUAUUUGCUGUAAGGAAAAAUUAGAUUGAAAUGGACUGUUUACCCAUAUUGGUUUCCAAGAGGCUUACUCAUUUGGAGAAACACUGCUCUUCAAGCACUUAGAACUGAGCCAUAUCACACAUAUCUUAAA